rnacentral:tRNA from 1 species
GGAGGUUAGAGCUCAGUGGUAGAGUGUGUGCUUAGCAUGCACGAGGUUCUAGGUUCAACCCCCAGUACUUCUA